UCCCCGCCCAGCGAAUAAGGUCGGGGUUAUGGCCUCCAGGCGGCUAAGGCCUGGGGAGGAGGGGAGCCCUAGCAACAGACCCGGGGGCCCUAGAGAGGCCUGUGCCCACCUCUGUGCAGCACCUCCCUGAGCCACCAGGGAAUGCGACGUGGAGGGGGGGACGAGGAAGACCCCUACCCCCUCCCAUUGCCAGUGCUCCGGGGCCUCGGUCACUGCCCCUGCCUCCCAGGGAUGCUUGAUGAACUUGCUUGGCCUUCCAGGAUCCUGCCCUAUACCCAGUUUUAGUAAAAAGCAGGCAAAUAGGAGUGAGAGAAAAAAGGAGGAACCAGAGAAAGAAUGAGAGAAGAAAGCAAGAGGAAGCCCUUCUAGAAAAGGAGAAAAUAAAGGAAAUGGGAAGGGACCCAACAGGUAUCCAGAGAAGAGACUGAGAAACCAAGUGACAUGAAACACAAGUAAAAAUAAAUACGUCAUAGAAACGACCAGUUGUCCAGUCUCUGGGACAGGAGACAUCCUGCCUUACAGAGAGAAGAGGGAAGCACAUGAUCAUUCGUGCGGGCCAGCCGGCCCUGCUACAGAAUCUCUUCUUUUCAAUCCCCAAAGGCGGACCCCAGACUCAGAUGGCAUCCAAAGGAAAAGAAAACUGAAAACCAAAGCCAGGUACUGGGUCCCAAGUGCCUCCCCAUCCCUAUCAGCAGUGUGGCUUUAGUGGUUGUCCAGUACAACUCUCCUCUCUACCUCCCUUGAACCUGGUCCACUGAUCAAUCCUACCCCACCCACCCUCAGUAGAUGGUGCUCAUCAAUUCAAGUUAUAGGAAAAAAAGUCAGUUGGGGGUGGAGGGGCGGUUCCUCUAAUGUCUCCCUACCCCCCACCUCCCACCCCAUGCUGUUCUUACCCUCCUAAGUGCAGUUUAAUGAACACAUACAUAUUGGAAACAACCUCCCAAGGUCAGGCUAUGCUCUUGCAGCUACUAAUGAGUCCUAGGUUAUGUCACAGUAUGAGGUCCUUAGCAAUAUACUUUUACCCUCAAAACACCAUCCUUAUAGAAGGACACAGGAAAGAAAACAUGUCACUUCAACUGCUUGCUAUAAAGGCCCUUAAAGAUCUGCCCCUUCCUAAACUGACACGUUAAAUUACAGGACCUCUUUAAAAAAAAAA